rnacentral:misc_RNA from 1 species
CACUUCUCAUCACACACGCCCUCAAGACGCUGAGACUGCUCUCUCAGCGGCGCCAAACGAAAGCACGUAAAUCUCGUUGUUAGCCACCGCAAGGUACACGCGUCCCACCGCAAUCGCUGUUUGCUCCGAUGGAAGCCACCGCAGCCACCAGCACCGGACUGCGGCAGCUACGCCGCGUGCGCCGCGCUCGCACGCAGUACGAACGCCUGCAGCGCCCAGACGACAUACAGCCAGGCUAUCCCAUUCCGAGCAUCGAGGGUUGGGUGCUCUUUUUCUCGAACCUGCCGGAAACAACAACGCAGGAAGACAUAGCCAACUACCUCGUCUCGUUCAAGGAGGGUGAUCCGGGCUACUUUGGCGCCAUCACCGAUAUUAAGAUCCCCCUGAACGCCGACUGCUUCUGCGCCGGUUACGCCUUGGUAGAGCUGGAGGACCGUGCUGGGUACGAGCGCGCGAUCGCCGAGCUGAACGGCGCCAUGUUUCCGUCCGGCGACAAGCCCCUUGUCGUGGCUCCGACGUUUCUUGGCGAAGAGGAAGAGCAAGAGCCGCAGGCAGAGGAGGUGGCGCCAGGUGAGAAGCGGGCGCGCGAUUAAGCUGUAGUCCCCCCCCGUUGUCAACUGUAACGCACAAAAAAGCAAAACUAGGCAAAGCCGUGAACACCACUAGCGCCCCACGCCGUGCAACUCACUCCCGCCCCCUCACACUCGUAAAAACGCCAUCUUUUCGCCACGCUUUUCGCCCUCCGCCUAUUCCCAAGCCGCGGCCUCCCCGGCCGCCAAGAGCCGGCGCUCGCCUUCCCGGGAGGGGCGCCCCGAACCCUGGGCCCGCCCCCAGCGCGGCGGAGAGCAAAAGCCCCGGGCAGGAGCCCCCCCCCCUGAACCGAAAAGGCGGGAAGACAGCGCACCACGCGAUACCCCGGCCACCCCCGAGGCAAGAGGCACGGCCACAUCCCAACAGAACCGCGACGCAAGCCGGCAGCCCACCAGUCCUGGGAAGCCACCCCCCAUGCACCUCAAGACUUCAAUCCAAAUGAACGCAAAAUAUUCUUUUUCCUCUUCUCUCGUAUUUCAG